GUCAAGAUGGUGGAGUGGUUAACACGUUCGCCUGCUAAGUCCUAGAAAGGUCUAAGUCAGCGGAUGCCUUCGGGCGCGCAGGUUCGAAUCCUGUUCUUGACG